rnacentral:sRNA from 10 species
CCUAGGGCUUACGCCCUAGGCUAAUAAGUAGCGCGCCUACAGCGCU